rnacentral:ribozyme from 1 species
UAAAGAAGAAACAGAAAAGAAAACAAACAGCAGCAAAAAAAGUGACUCCAUUCACAACAUUUUUUUCCUCUCUCUUUCUUUCUCUCUCUCUCUUUCAUUUUCACUCUUUCCACCCUUUUAUUUCCUCUAUGAAUACCGAACGAAACG